GGGACACGUGGUAUCCUGUCUGAAUAUGGGGGGACCAUCCUCCAAGGCUAAAUACUCCUGACUGACCGAUAGUGAACCAGUACCGUGAGGGAAAGGCGAAAAGAACCCCGGCGAGGGGAGUGAAAAAGAACCUGAAACCGUGUACGUACAAGCAGUGGGAGCACGCUUAGGCGUGUGACUGCGUACCUUUUGUAUAAUGGGUCAGCGACUUAUAUUCUGUAGCAAGGUUAACCGAAUAGGGGAGCCGAAGGGAAACCGAGUCUUAACUGGGCGUUAAGUUGCAGGGUAUAGACCCGAAACCCGGUGAUCUAGCCAUGGGCAGGUUGAAGGUUGGGUAACACUAACUGGAGGACCGAACCGACUAAUGUUGAAAAAUUAGCGGAUGACUUGUGGCUGGGGGUGAAAGGCCAAUCAAACCGGGAGAUAGCUGGUUCUCCCCGAAAGCUAUUUAGGUAGCGCCUCGUGAAUUCAUCUCCGGGGGUAGAGCACUGUUUCGGCAAGGGGGUCAUCCCGACUUACCAACCCGAUGCAAACUGCGAAUACCGGAGAAUGUUAUCACGGGAGACACACGGCGGGUGCUAACGUCCGUCGUGAAGAGGGAAACAACCCAGACCGCCAGCUAAGGUCCCAAAGUCAUGGUUAAGUGGGAAACGAUGUGGGAAGGCCCAGACAGCCAGGAUGUUGGCUUAGAAGCAGCCAUCAUUUAAAGAAAGCGUAAUAGCUCACUGGUCGAGUCGGCCUGCGCGGAAGAUGUAACGGGGCUAAACCAUGCACCGAAGCUGCGGCAGCGACGCUUAUGCGUUGUUGGGUAGGGGAGCGUUCUGUAAGCCUGUGAAGGUGUGCUGUGAGGCAUGCUGGAGGUAUCAGAAGUGCGAAUGCUGACAUAAGUAACGAUAAAGCGGGUGAAAAGCCCGCUCGCCGGAAGACCAAGGGUUCCUGUCCAACGUUAAUCGGGGCAGGGUGAGUCGACCCCUAAGGCGAGGCCGAAAGGCGUAGUCGAUGGGAAACAGGUUAAUAUUCCUGUACUUGGUGUUACUGCGAAGGGGGGACGGAGAAGGCUAUGUUGGCCGGGCGACGGUUGUCCCGGUUUAAGCGUGUAGGCUGGUUUUCCAGGCAAAUCCGGAAAAUCAAGGCUGAGGCGUGAUGACGAGGCACUACGGUGCUGAAGCAACAAAUGCCCUGCUUCCAGGAAAAGCCUCUAAGCAUCAGGUAACAUCAAAUCGUACCCCAAACCGACACAGGUGGUCAGGUAGAGAAUACCAAGGCGCUUGAGAGAACUCGGGUGAAGGAACUAGGCAAAAUGGUGCCGUAACUUCGGGAGAAGGCACGCUGAUAUGUAGGUGAAGUCCCUCGCGGAUGGAGCUGAAAUCAGUCGAAGAUACCAGCUGGCUGCAACUGUUUAUUAAAAACACAGCACUGUGCAAACACGAAAGUGGACGUAUACGGUGUGACGCCUGCCCGGUGCCGGAAGGUUAAUUGAUGGGGUUAGCCGCAAGGCGAAGCUCUUGAUCGAAGCCCCGGUAAACGGCGGCCGUAACUAUAACGGUCCUAAGGUAGCGAAAUUCCUUGUCGGGUAAGUUCCGACCUGCACGAAUGGCGUAAUGAUGGCCAGGCUGUCUCCACCCGAGACUCAGUGAAAUUGAACUCGCUGUGAAGAUGCAGUGUACCCGCGGCAAGACGGAAAGACCCCGUGAACCUUUACUAUAGCUUGACACUGAACAUUGAGCCUUGAUGUGUAGGAUAGGUGGGAGGCUUAGAAGUGUGGACGCCAGUCUGCAUGGAGCCGACCUUGAAAUACCACCCUUUAAUGUUUGAUGUUCUAACGUUGACCCGUAAUCCGGGUUGCGGACAGUGUCUGGUGGGUAGUUUGACUGGGGCGGUCUCCUCCUAAAGAGUAACGGAGGAGCACGAAGGUUGGCUAAUCCUGGUCGGACAUCAGGAGGUUAGUGCAAUGGCAUAAGCCAGCUUGACUGCGAGCGUGACGGCGCGAGCAGGUGCGAAAGCAGGUCAUAGUGAUCCGGUGGUUCUGAAUGGAAGGGCCAUCGCUCAACGGAUAAAAGGUACUCCGGGGAUAACAGGCUGAUACCGCCCAAGAGUUCAUAUCGACGGCGGUGUUUGGCACCUCGAUGUCGGCUCAUCACAUCCUGGGGCUGAAGUAGGUCCCAAGGGUAUGGCUGUUCGCCAUUUAAAGUGGUACGCGAGCUGGGUUUAGAACGUCGUGAGACAGUUCGGUCCCUAUCUGCCGUGGGCGCUGGAGAACUGAGGGGGGCUGCUCCUAGUACGAGAGGACCGGAGUGGACGCAUCACUGGUGUUCGGGUUGUCAUGCCAAUGGCACUGCCCGGUAGCUAAAUGCGGAAGAGAUAAGUGCUGAAAGCAUCUAAGCACGAAACUUGCCCCGAGAUGAGUUCUCCCUGACUCCUUGAGAGUCCUGAAGGAACGUUGAAGACGACGACGUUGAUAGGCCGGGUGUGUAAGCGCAGCGAUGCGUUGAGCUAACCGGUACUAAUGAACCGUGAGGCUUAACCUUACAACGCCGAAGGUGUUU
rnacentral:rRNA from 1 species